rnacentral:rRNA from 1 species
AUUGAACGCUGGCGGCAGGCCUAACACAUGCAAGUCGAACGCGUGGCGCACGGGUGAGUAAUGUCUGUGACACUGUCUUAAGGAGGGGGGUAACUCAUGGAGACGGUAGUUCUUACCGCAUAUCCUCAUAUGUGCCCAGAUGGGAUUAGCUAGUUGGUGGGGUAACGGCUCACACAGUCGACGAUCCCUAGCUGGUCUGAGAGGAUGACCAGCCACACUGGAACUGAGACACGGUCCAGACUCCUACGGGAGGCAGCAGUGGGGAAUAUUGCACAAUGGGCGCAAGCCUGAUGCAGCCAUGCCGCGUGUAUGAAGAAGGCCUUCGGGUUGUAAAGUACUUUCAGCGGGGAGGCGUUACCCGCAGAAGAAGCACCGGCUAACUCCGUGCCAGCAGCCGCGGUAAUAC